GCGCUGUCUGUCUUUGUGGUGUUGGCUUUUGUGGACACGUGCUGUAUGGGAACUGCUGAGUCAUGGCCUGAACCUCUGAUUGAUCACCUGAGGCGAGCAGUGAGUCAGGCAGAGGAGCACAGGUGAAGGCAAUGCAGCUGUGCUGCUGGAAGGGGUGCAGCCAGGCUACAGCCCUCCUAGACCUGUUUAAGAGCUGGCUGCCAGUGGGGAAGGAUCUCGUCUGGAGAUCUGCUCUGCUGGAGUUUUGUAAGUGAGCCCAGGAUAGGGGUAAGCCUUCUAUUUAUUCUCCUUUUGUUAGCUUAGUCUGCUUUGUCAAACUCUCUUGUUUAUUUCAUAAUGACAACAUCUUAAUAGUCAUUGAUUAUACACGUGCACUAAGUACUUUUUCUUCUUGUUUUAGACUACUCCAACGUACUUGGCCAAGCUGCUUUUGCAGAUGCCUCAAAACAAACCCACAGAGUUCAUGGAUUCAGCCAUCUUCACGCUGCAUAACUACGCAUCCAGUCAGAGAGAGGAAUCUCUGCUGUUGCAGCUGUUGCAAACAGCAUUGCAGGAAGAGAUCAAAUGCGCUCUUUCAACCGUGGUGCCCGUGGUCAGAACGCACUGAGGCAGAUCUUGGCCCCAGUUGUGAAGGAAAUAAUUGAGGACGAAUCGCUCAACGUCAGAACGGAUCCAGUGGAUAUUUACAAGUGCUGGGUGAACCAGAUGGGAUCUCAGAAUGGUGAGGCCGGGCACUUCAAGGGAAGUGGUGGAAAAGCAAUGCUAUGAAGUAAAAGACAACUGUCCCAGCGCAGCACGCUGCGUGAGUUACUAUCUUAACACUGCAAUGUGCAGCUUGUGUUUUCACUGAUUUAUUUGCGACCUGAGGUACUACUGCGUAUCGCAGGUGACCUUCUUGACUGUAGAGAGCGUGUCUGCAUGUGGUACAGAAAGAUACAGUUCAGAGUUAGCUGGGCCUGUUCUCACAGCGACUGCUGCAGGGACAGCAGAGGACGUGAGAAGUCCUUUGCUCUUUCAGUGCUAGCAUUCUAAUGAAAGUGAAAGCGUGCAGCUCUUUGCAGCCAGGUGAGCGUGGAUCUGUUUGUGUGUCAAGCCAAAAAUUCUGCCUGGCACUGACAAAAGUAUAUUAGGCUGAGGAGUGCUCACCUUCACAUCUGACUUUUCCAAAUAGCAAGUUGCCGUACGAUGUUGCACCUGAACAAGCUCUUAAUCACGGUGAG